UGGGGAAUAUCGCACAAUGGGCGCAAGCCUGAUGCAGCCAUGCCGCGUGUGUGAAGAAGGCCUUCGGGUUGUAAAGCACUUUCAGCGAGGAGGAAGGUGGUGGACUUAAUACGUUCAUCAAUUGACGUUACUCGCAGAAGAAGCACCGGCUAACUCCGUGCCAGCAGCCGCGGUAAUACGGGAGGGUACAAGCGUUAAUCGGAAUUACUGGGCGUAAAGCGCACGCAGGCGGUUUGUUAAGUCAGAUGUGAAAUCCCCGGGCUCAACCUGGGAACUGCAUUUGAAACUGGCAAGCUAGAGUCUCGUAGAGGGGGGUAGAAUUCCAGGUGUAGCGGUGAAAUGCGUAGAGAUCUGGAGGAAUACCGGUGGCGAAGGCGGCCCCCUGGACGAAGACUGACGCUCAGGUGCGAAAGCGUGGGGAGCAAACAGGAUUAGAUACCCUGGUAGUCCACGCUGUAACGAUGUCGAUUUGGAGGUUGUGCCCUUGAGGCGUGGCUUCCGGAGCUAACGCGUUAAAUCGACCGCCUGGGGAGUACGGCCGCAAGGUU
rnacentral:rRNA from 1 species